UAUAUAUCAGCUUACGUAGAACGACAAAGCUACAAAAAAGGGGGAUACUUUUACAGACCCUCAUCUUCCUUAGGAGGUAAAGUGUAAUUCGAACACUAAAGAAAUGCUUCACAAAAGCUCGUUUUGAAAGUUCGAUGAAUAUGAUAUACGUAGCUUCUUGCUAUUACACAACAAUAUAAAGUUGCAUUGACAUUUGGAUAUUGACAUAGCUUCAAGAACUUUUAUUAUUGUUUUUGAC